ensembl:lncRNA
CUGACCCUAUUAUUAAUUUCUUCAGUCCAUUGUCAGAUCUGACACAGUGCUGGUCAGUUUUCUUUCUUUUCUUUUUUCAUUUAUUUGUGUCUUCUAAGAAAAAGGUUUUAUGACGGGAAGUGCCGAGUUUCAAACAACUGAGAAAGCAACAAAAUUAUUAUCUGCUCUUGAGACGUUGACUCUACUAUUUGUUCAAUUAGUCUCUUAGAAGUUGUCAAAGCAGCCAUCUUGACCUUUCUUUCUUUCUACCUGUGACUAUAAAAGGAGCUUCUCAUAAAUGUCUGUAGUACAUCUGCCUUCAAAACUCAUCCCCACCGAAAUACCUACGAAACCAGUGACAGUGUUUAAGUUGCAGUCUGGCAUUAUCUUACAGCUGAGUAAACCUCACAGCUAGCUGUUACCAAAAUCCGUGUUUUUCCUUCAGUCCUCUCUACACUCACUUCCCACUCUGUCUCCUGUGCCAUCACUUUUAUUUGUCUGAUCAUGUAGUUUAAGAUGUUUAAGGAAGCUAAAUUGGCAGAAAACCAAUUGCCUUUCUUUAAAAGUGCUUUUUUGCCUGUUCAGUUUCACAGAUUGGGAACGAAUGAGUUUCAAUGUCACAGCAAGGGAAGAUGAUUCACGGGACAGAAGAGUGGAGCAGCUUUACCCUUCUUUGUCAGCAGUUAACUUUUAGAUCAUCUUAGCCAUGACUGCACCUAUAAACGAUCCGCUUUCACUCCUGAACAUUUGCAUGGGGGUCUCAGAGACUCCCUCAAAAGUUCAAUGGCUGCAAGAAGAUAAAAGCUUGGCUUUAAGUAAGAAGCCAACUCCACUCUUCCUGAAGUCCAAGAACAAUAGACAUGAUGCCUUGCUUUGCAUCGUCUUUCCUUCUGCCAUCAGUCACUGCUGGUCUUUGCUGAAACUGAAGCAUCCCGGUCUCCUGGUCUCUGUGCAUCCUUUGGCAUGUAGGAGGUAACUCACUGUACUCUGGUUGUUACUUUGUGUCUGUAGCACAAUUUCAUAUGAGUAAGAAGUGAUGUAAUUUGGUCAGAGUUGGCCGACCUGUAAAAGGUACAGAGGAUGCUCAUUCUUGCGUUACCACCUCUCCUUUCUCACCAUCUUCUGAGCUUGCUCUGACACUUGGAAACUGUGAUCCUUGCUGCUGCCACCUCUUUGAGAUUUUGGGCUGAUUUGUUCUGGCAUAGGAUAGGCAUGGCAACUGGUGAGCAGUUUCUCUUCUCUGUUUCUGUUGCUGCUGACAGCAGUAUAAAGCAGUAAUGCUGUGGAAUCAGCAAGGUUGUUACUCAAAAUAGUCAAAAAGCAGAGCGUUUCCCUUUCUUGUCUACAUUUCUACCUGAAAAACAUAGUUGUGAGGGAAGUUUAAUACAAGAGUGAUUUUUUUUUUUCUCCUAAUAUUUUUUGGACUUUGUGGUUUUUUGUACCACUUUAAUGAACCAAACAAGAGGUCCUGGAUUUUGUAAUUACUUAUGUUGUGCUCAACUUGGGCAGAUAUAAGCAAUACCCCUUAAAUUUUAUGGGUAAAAUAAAGCACGUGCAAAAACAUGCUUCAGAAUGUAUUGAAAUUUAGCCCAAACUUGGCUGAUAUACAACGACCUCCAAGCAGCAUUACUGAAGGUCAUGGCGAGCUCCCUAUCACACGUGGAAAAACUUUGUUAUAUUCUGAAAUUUGUUUUUAGAGCUCUGUUGUGUGUAUUGUGUCGGAUUACACUUGCUUUACAAGGUUUCACGUCCUCUCUUAGCCUUUCUUCAAGUGGAGUCCCGGGCAUGAAGGUCAAACCGGACAACUU